rnacentral:rRNA from 1 species
UACGGAGGAUGCAAGCGUUAUCCGGAAUGAUUGGGCGUAAAGCGUCCGCAGGUGGCUAUGUAAGUCUGCUGUUAAAGAGUGAGGCUCAACCUCAUAAGAGCAGUGGAAACUACAUAGCUAGAGUGCGUUCGGGGCAGAGGGAAUUCCUGGUGUAGCGGUGAAAUGCGUAGAUAUCAGGAAGAACACCGGUGGCGAAAGCGCUCUGCUAGGCCGCAACUGACGCUGAGGCGCGAAAGCUAGGGGAGCAAACAGG